rnacentral:rRNA from 1 species
UACGUAGGGUGCGAGCGUUAAUCGGAAUUACUGGGCGUAAAGCGUGCGCAGGCGGUUCGUCGUGUCCGAUGUGAAAGCCCCGGGCUCAACCUGGGAAUGGCAUUGGAAACUGGCGGGCUUGAGUGUGGCAGAGGGGGGUGGAAUUCCGCGUGUAGCAGUGAAAUGCGUAGAGAUGUGGAGGAACACCGAUGGCGAAGGCAGCCCCCCUGGGCUAACACUGACGCUCAUGCACGAAAGCGUGGGGAGCAAACAGG